rnacentral:tRNA from 1 species
GACUCCGUGGCGCAACGGUAGCGCGUCCGUCUCCAGAUCGCAAGGUUGCUGCGUUCAGAAUCACGUCGGGGUCA